rnacentral:rRNA from 1 species
GAUGAACGCUGGCGGCGUGCCUAAUACAUGCAAGUCGAGCGAACAGAUGAGGAGCUUGCUCCUCUGACGUUAGCGGCGGACGGGUGAGUAACACGUGGAUAACCUACCUAUAAGACUGGGAUAACUUCGGGAAACCGGAGCUAAUACCGGAUAAUAUAUUGAACCGCAUGGUUCAAUAGUGAAAGACGGUUUUGCUGUCACUUAUAGAUGGAUCCGCGCCGCAUUAGCUAGUUGGUAAGGUAACGGCUUACGAAGGCGACGAUGCGUAGCCGACCUGAGAGGGUGAUCGGCGACAUUGGAACUGAGACACGGUCCAGACUCCUACGGGAGGCAGCAGUAGGGUAUCUGCCGCAAUGGGCGAAAGCCUGACGGAGCAACGCCGAGUGAGUGAUGAAGGUCCUCGGAUCGUAAAACUCUGUUAUUAGUGAAGAACCAAUGUGUAAGUAACUAUGCACGUCUUGACGGUACCUAAUCAGAAAGCCACGGCUAACUACGUG